AACGAACGCUGGCGGCAUGCCUAACACAUGCAAGUCGAACGAGACCUUCGUGCCUAGUGGCGCAGGGGUGGGUAACACGGGGGAACUUGCCCUUAGGUUCGGAAUAACUCACCGAAAGGGGUCCUAAUACCGGAUAAUGUCUUCCGACCAAAGAUUUAUCGCCUUUGGAUGGGGCCGUGUUGGAUUGGCGAGUUGGUAGGGGAAAAGCCACCCAAGGGGACGAUCCAUGGCUGGUCUGAUAGGAAGCCCAACCACGCUGGGGCUGAGGCCCGGCCCAGACCGCUACGGGAGGGAGCGGUGGGGAGUAUUGGGCAAGGAGCGAAAGCCUAAUCCAGCAAUGCCGGGUGAGUGAGGAAGGGCUUAGGGUUGUACAUCUCUUUUACCCGGGAUGUUAAUGACAGUACCGGGUGAAUAAGCUCCGGCUAACUCCGUG
rnacentral:rRNA from 1 species